rnacentral:rRNA from 1 species
UACGUAGGCAGCAAGCGUUGUUCGGAAUUACUGGGCGUAAAGAGUGUGUAGGCGGUGUUCUAAGUCUGGUGUGAAAUCUCCCGGCUCAACUGGGAGGGUGCGCUAGAAACUGGAAUGCUAGAAGGAUGGGAGAGGUAAGCGGAAUUCCUGGUGUAGCGGUGAAAUGCGUAGAUAUCAGGAGGAACACCUGUGGUGUAGACAGCUUACUGGACCAUUCUGACGCUGAGACAUCGAAAGUGUGGGUAGCAAACAGG